ACAAUUUAUCUUCUUAUUUCUGCUUUUUCAUUUCACAAAUUCAUGGAAAUUGGAACCUUAGCAUCUAAGUUUUUACUCCAUAUUUAUUUAUUUAUUUAUGGUUAAAAAAGAAAAGAAAAUAUAUACAACUUUUGUGACUGGAAGUUCUUCCCCACUUUUCUCUUCCUUAUUGGCCAAAUUUACUUCAAAUUCGCCUUCUCACAUUUCUCUAAAACUUUCUGCCUCUUCUUCUUCCAAAUUGGAAGUUUCUUGUUUUGUGAUUAAUGGUGUGAAGAUUUGGAAUAUAGACGGAUAUUUUUGGAGUUUUGUUUAGAGAUCAAUGAGUAGUAAGAGAUCUGGUAUGGAAUGGAAGAAUUUAAACAUCUUUUUGGGAUUUUUGCUGAUCUAUGCAGCUAGGAUUUCGUUUGGACUCACCAAUCCUAGUGAUGUUGCUGCGAUUAAUAGCUUAUAUGCUGCAUUGGGCUCUCCCCUUCUCCCUGGAUGGAUUGCUUCCGGCGGAGACCCCUGUGCUGAAGCAUGGCAAGGCGUACAAUGUAAUGGUUCGGACAUAAUGAGCAUAGUUCUAAAUGGUGCUAAUUUGGGUGGACAACUGGGUGACAACCUUGGAAUGUUUGCUUCUAUUAAGGCAAUAGAUUUGAGCAACAACCAGAUCGGGGGAAAUAUUCCAUCCAAUUUGCCUGUUACCAUGCAAAACUUUUUUCUUUCAGCCAAUCAGUUCAGUGGAAGCAUCCCGGAUUCACUAUCUUCUUUGACCAUGUUGACAGACAUGUCAUUGAAUAACAAUAAUUUGAGUGGAGAGAUACCAGAUGCCUUUCAAUCGCUUUCUGGAUUGAUCAAUCUGGAUUUGUCCAACAACAAAUUGAGUGGAUCUCUGCCACCAUCAAUGGAAAAUUUGUCUAGUCUAACUACCCUACGUUUGCAGGCCAAUCAGCUGUCUGGGACGCUAGAUGUUCUACAAGAUCUUCCCCUAAGAGAUUUGAACAUAGAAAAUAAUCUUUUCAAUGGACCCAUUCCUGAGAAGAUGCUGAGCAUCCCAAGCUUCAAAAACGAUGGAAAUCCAUUUAAUUCCACUGUUGCUCCUUUGCCUGGUCCUACAUCACCAUUAGCACCACCGCAUGCGCCACCACAUUCUGUAGUUCCAGCUUCUGGUCAAACACCAACAUCUGAUCAAACACCAGGGAAACAUGCUGAUGGGCCUUCUGCAUCGGAGGGAUCUAAUUCUAGUCAGAAAAAGAAUUUCUUAACUACUAAAAGGGUGGUGUGGAUAUCAAUUGCAAGUGUUUUGUUGUUUAUAAUAUUAGCUUUAGCACUUCUGCUUUUUAUGCCCAAGUGUAGCAGGGGAAGGGAAGAGGCUGGUGGGAUUUUCAAACGGCAUCAAGUAGGUGCAUAUAGAGGAAACAGAGAGAACAUUGUUGGGGAUGCGCCCUUAACCACCACAGCCAGUCAAACAGAGAAAGGCCCAAAAGAUGCAGCUAUGAGACCAGUUGGGGGUAAUGAAACAGAGAGGGGAAGAAUGGGGGAUAUUGCAAAGCUACCGAACAAGGAAGAGAGAUAUGUUGAAAGGAUAGGCACGACGCCAAAGAGAUUUGACCAUGAGAUAGACAUGAGUGGCUACGAUGUGAUGUUGAUGGAGCCCCCUCGUCCACCUCCUCCUCCGCCUCCGCCUCCCCCACCUCCGCCCCCUCCACCUCCUCCGGCACUUGCUGAGAAGGUCAUUUUGAAACCCAUUGUGCCUAAUGAAGUAACUGCAGGGCCUUCUGCCAAAACACCAAAGCCAUCUACAUUUGCGAGGUCGUUCACCAUUGCAGCCCUUCAACAAUAUACAAAUAGCUUUUCUCAAGAAAAUCUUUUGGGGGGUGGCAUGCUUGGAAGUGUCUAUAGGGCAGAACUUCCGGAUGGAAAGUUACUUGCAGUCAAGAAACUGGAGAAGAGAGUUGCAAGCCAGCAGAAGGAUGAUGAAUUUAUUGAACUGGUGGAAAAUAUUGAUCGUAUCCAGCAUGUAAAUGUUGUCAGGCUAAUGGGUUAUUGUGCAGAGCAUGGUCAAAAGCUUUUGAUCUAUGAGUAUUGCAGCAAUGGAUCGCUGCAGGAUGCGCUGCACUCUGAUGAUGAGUUUAAAAAGCUGCUUUCAUGGAAUACCCGUAUCCGGAUGGCUCUUGGAGCUGCUAGAGCCUUAGAGUACAUGCAUGAGGCUUGCCAGCCACCUGUAAUUCACAGAAAUUUCCAGUCUGCCAAUGUUCUCCUUGAUGAUGAUCUCGAUGUGCGUGUCUCUGAUUGUGGUUUGGCUCCAUUAAUAGCAUCAGGUUCUGUAAGUCAGUUGUCAGGACAACUACAAUCAAUUUAUGGUUAUGGAGCGCCAGAAUUUGAGUCUGGAAUUUAUACUUCUCAGAGUGAUGUUUACAGUUUUGGGGUGUUUAUGUUGGAACUCUUAACUGGCAGGAAAUCUCAUGACAGGACAAGGAGUAGAGGAGAACAAUUUCUAGUGAGAUGGGCAAUCCCACAGCUCCAUGAUAUUGAAGCAUUAUCUAGGAUGGUUGACCCUUCUCUCAAUGGAGAAUAUCCUGCUAAAGCGUUGUCACGGUUUGCUGAUAUCAUUUCUCGGUGUGUCCAGUCUGAACCAGAAUUCAGGCCACCAAUGUCUGAAGUGGUUCAAGACCUAUUGGACAUCAUACGCAGGGAGCGUCCGAGUAAUGAAUCAAUUGGAGACUGACUUGUGUUAGGCAAUACACCUGAUGAAUUAGUUUAGGAUCCGAAGUCACAGGGAUUUGAUCCAUCAGAUGUUGUGAAAACACAUCCAUUGUAAAGAGGCAGCAGCGCGAAAUUUUACAUCUGAAGCUCUUGCACAAGGUUUGGCGGUCAUUCAGUAAGAACCUCACCGCUGUGACUAGGAACAGUCUGAAUUUUCAGGUAAAAGACCAAGAGAUCCUAAUCAAUUUAUCAGUGCUAUCUACGAAUCUCUCUUGCGGCAAAUAAAGCUUGAUUUGGUUGGGCUCUGUUUGCCUGCAUGGUCAUUCAACUCUGUCAAUGGAGCUUUCUGUGAUUCUAAAUCUUCAAGGGCACUUUCUGAUCAACAGCAGAGAUAAAAAAAUGUAUAAUGGAAGUUGUUUGAUCAAAUACAUUCGCAACUUCACGAACUUUGAACUAGUUUAGAAAAUUGACUCAACGCUGUUUUGUUCUCACCAUUUUAUACACACAAAACUGUUACCUGCAAGAUAUAUCCGUAUCAACCACAUCGAUAUAAGAACUCAUGUUA